CCGAGAACGGAGUUUGUCCUCUUACCUCGGUCCUUCCCGUUCUGCAUUUUUUCUGUUUCUUCGUCAUCUUCUUCCUCCGCUUCAAAAAAAAAAGAAAAAAAGAAAGCAGACAUGAGCCGAGGCGAUCGACUGAGCUCUUCAGCAGAUGUGCACAGCCACCAACCGCUAUGUUAGAGCAGCCUUCACCAAGUUCUGCUGCAAAAUUUCAGCUUCCUUUCUGUCUCAUUACCAGCAGAGAGCCAAACCCGCCCCAUCUCUGUCGUGCCGCUCCAAGAUCCUCACGAGCAGCUUCUGCAUCGCGGGUGCCGGUGCCUUGCUAGAGAAAACUUCCGGAGCUGCCCUACGGCUCUCCACGGACGGCGAGUGAUGGUCCCAAGGGUCGUUUAGGUGCUGCCUAUGGACUCAAAGUCUGCCGAAUUUCAUAGCGAAUCACAAACAAAUAAAAAAUAUUUUUUUCUCUGUGGUUUGAAGGUUCAGAGAAAACUGUUUUAAUAUUCACUCGGGCAAAACUCCCGCUGGCUUCAAAGACGACGCUGCCCAGCAAAGCGUCCGGAGCACAACGGAGGUUAGGCACUGGAGCGAUGAGCAGGGAAAGGAGAGGCACCGACGAACGUGCGCGGGGCAGAUCAAUCGAGGAGACUACGGACGUGCGCUUAUUGGCUCCGUGUUUUCAAAAAAAUCAUCCCACUUCAGUACUCGGCACGCGGUGCCAGCAGCAGAGCGAGCAAGGCGGCGUUCAUCACGCGAUGCACCUCGCCGUGGCUGAGGACGUCUGCAGGGAGCCCGGGUGCUCAGGGCAGGGGGGCUGCACAGCCCGGCCGGGCCCCUCGUCCCCGGGAGCCGCUCGCUCCCCCGCGUCCAUCCUCGCCGCCCGGGAGCGAAGACGUCACCCUUCCCCGAGCAUCGGCCAUUAUUUACGAGUGCUCUGAAUGGGCACAGGGCUACUUCCUUGUUCAUAAUCUGGUUAUUCUCUGCAGCCACUCGUGCCUUUCAACAGCCUCUGAGCCCUCUGGCUCAAUUACAGAGUUAUUAGUGAUUAGAACCCUUUGCCAGCAAGGGUUUAUGAUCUGCGACUGUAUAUAUAUAUGUAAGCACGGUCCCUGUGCUGCCCUUGAUUAAAGGAAAGCUACUUAUAAAUAAUUGCACACUGAGGGCAUUAAAACCGUACAACCCCUCCGAGCAAAUACCUGGUUUGUUUGUGCCAUUUGCU